UGUAUCAGUGAUUAUUUUGGCUCCCUCUACUGAAUAUUAUGAGGAUACUGCCAUCGUUACCCAAUUCAUUGUCUGAGAUACA